GAUGAAGAACGUAGCGAAAUGCGAUACUUGGUGUGAAUUGCAGAAUCCCGUGAACCAUCGAGUCUUUGAACGCAAGUUGCGCCUCAAGCCAUUAGGUUGAGGGCACGUCUGCCUGGGCGUCACAUAUCGUUGCCUGAUGCCAGUUUCCUCGUGAUGGGUGACUGUGCAGGGCGAAUGAUGGCUUCCCGUGAGCAUUGUUGCCUCAUGGUUGGUUGAAAAUUGAGUCCUUGGUAGGGAGCGCCGUGAUAGAUGGUGGUUGAGUGACGAACGAGACCCAAUCAUGUGAGAUCCCUACCGAAUUUGGCCUUCAUGACCCACAUGCGUCUUUGGAACGCUCAUGACGAGACCUCAGGUCAGGCGGGGCUACCCGCUGAGUUUAAGCAUAUCAAUAAGCGGAGGA
rnacentral:misc_RNA from 1 species